GUUUGUCUAGCUCAGUUAGUAGAGUACAAGGAUUUUAACCUUGUUGUCAUGGAUUUGAGCCCCAUGGUGGGUG
rfam:Ipomoea nil DNA, scaffold: scaffold0239, cultivar: Tokyo-kokei standard.